AUACUUCAUCCUCAAGGCCGUAGCAUGUGCCAUCGCCACCAAGUGUACUUCAGUGGACAUAUGUCGUUUUUAAAUCUGAGCACACUUGGUAGCGGUGCCGUGAGCUACUCCCAUACAUCGGACCAUGCA
rnacentral:precursor_RNA from 15 species